GGUUAUAUAGUUCUCCUUCAGCAUUCUAAGUUCCAUAUUCUAAAACAUUAUGUUCUAAAUUGUAGGUUUUUUCUAGCUCUAACAUUCUAUGAGUCUCUAUGCUAAGACUGUUUUCACAAUUGGAAAGCUAGAACCAAGUCCCAGGAACCCAAUUUUCCCUCCAAAGCUAAUCUAGAGCCCAAGUCCAGAGCCAGGGCAGAAAUGGCCCUCUUUGCCUCCAGUUUCCAUGAUCAGAAAACUGGCUAUUGUUGGUAGAAGAUCCAUAGGGCUCCCCAGGCCCGACCCUGGCAACUCAUCCCUUGGACCCAGACCAAGAACUUGUGUUGCGGAGCUAACGAGAACUCGGAGCAGAUGGUGCCAUCUGUGGCCCAUCUGAUUCUAGCCCUGACAAUCUGCCACCCAGUUGUUGAGGAGGGUGGAGGGUCUGAAGGGGCCCUGGGAGGGAGCAGUGCCAAGCAGGGCAGAGAGGAGAGACUCCAGCAUACUGUGGCAUAGGUAGCUGCAUGUCUUGGUCCUCUGAGGUAUCAGGAGCACCUUGGAGAAUAGGGAAGGUAGGAAGAGAUCUAAGAAAGUGGGGAAGAGGCCUGGGCUAGCAGACAGAAGAUCCAUCUACAAACUUUUUGUGUGACUUUCACCCUUUCUGAACCUCUGAAAAAUGAGAUAAUUGGACGUUAAAAUGUAUUAAAUCUGCAACAUCCAAUGA